rnacentral:rRNA from 1 species
CGAACGGAAAGGCCCUGCUUGCAGGGUACUCGAGUGGCGAACGGGUGAGUAACACGUGGGUGAUCUGCCCUGCACUUCGGGAUAAGCUUGGGAAACUGGGUCUAAUACCGGAUAGGAACCAUCUUUAGUGUGGUGGUUGGAAAGUUUUUUCGGUGUAGGAUGAGCUCGCGGCCUAUCAGCUUGUUGGUGGGGUAAUGGCCUACCAAGGCGGCGACGGGUAGCCGGCCUGAGAGGGUGUACGGCCACAUUGGGACUGAGAUACGGCCCAGACUCCUACGGGAGGCAGCAGUGGGGAAUAUUGCACAAUGGGCGCAAGCCUGAUGCAGCGACGCCGCGUGGGGGAUGAAGGCCUUCGGGUUGUAAACUCCUUUCGCUAGGGACGAAGCUUUUUGUGACGGUACCUAGAUAAGAAGCACCGGCUAACUACGUGCCAGCAGCCGCGGUAAUACGUAGGGUGCGAGCGUUGUCCGGAAUUACUGGGCGUAAAGGGCUCGUAGGUGGUUUGUCGCGUCGUCUGUGAAAUUCUGGGGCUUAACUCCGGGCGUGCAGGCGAUACGGGCAUAACUUGAGUGCUGUAGGGGUAACUGGAAUUCCUGGUGUAGCGGUGAAAUGCGCAGAUAUCAGGAGGACACCGAUGGCGAAGGCAG